GAGCGCCCCUUCGGGGGAUAGACGGACGGGUGAGUAACGCGUGGGAACGUGCCCUUUGGUACGGAACAACUGAGGGAAACUUCAGCUAAUACCGUAUGUGCCCUUCGGGGGAAAGAUUUAUCGCCAUUGGAGCGGCCCGCGUUGGAUUAGCUAGUUGGUGGGGUAAUGGCCCACCAAGGCGACGAUCCAUAGCUGGUCUGAGAGGAUGAUCAGCCACACUGGGACUGAGACACGGCCCAUACUCCUACGGGAGGCAGCAGUAGGGAAUCUUGCGCAAUGGGCGAAAGCCUGACGCAGCCAUGCCGCGUGAAUGAUGAAGGUCUUAGGAUUGUAAAAUUCUUUCACCGGGGAAGAUAAUGACGGUACCCGGAGAAGAAGCCCCGGCUAACUUCGUGCCAGCAGCCGCGGUAAU
rnacentral:rRNA from 1 species